GGAGGGCGCGGCCAUCUUGGGGCGGCGCGGCCAUCUCGGGGCGGCGCGGCCAUUUCAGGGCGGCGCGGUGGCCCCGCCCGCGGAGGGGCGGUGUGAGGUGGCCCCGGUCGCCCGCCCCGCUGCGCCGUGCAUGUCUGGGGACGUCUCACUUCAUCUGUCACCAGUUCUGCUCGCCUGCCCAGCUGUCAAAACAGGGGGUGUCUUUUUCAUUCCAGCUCACAAAGUACCAAAGGGGAAAAGGGGCUUUAAUGCCUGUGUUUGGACACAAGCAAUUAUCCCUAAUUAUUGUUUUUCUUUUGAGCCUGCCCGUCCCGCUGGAGAGCCAACAGAUGAGCAUGCCCUAAUCCUCCCCAGUCGGUUGAUCUCAGUGGGUUUUGCGGGACAAACCGGGCGAGAAGGCUCCGCGACUUUCAUCUCGAUGCAACCUUGUCAUCUCGCUUCAGCAUCUCUAAUGACAAGCUGACAAUAGGUCCCGCAGACAGCACCUCCAGAGCACAGCUGGGAACUACACGGAGCUCCUUCCCUUCAUUUUAGAGGCAGGAAAUGGGAUGAAGAGCUUCAAACAAUGCAGUCUAACAGUAAUGACAUGCCAUGUAUGAAUCCAAGUUCAUAUAUUUUACUAAAGACUACACUUCACAUGUGCAGGAAUGCUUCUUAAUACAACUGAUACCUUGAAGAUCACCACCUGAAAACCAGGUCUGAUUUGAAAUGAAUGGAAUUGCCAUCACUGAAUGGCAAUUCUAUUCAAUAAGAAAAAAUAUAUAUGUUAUCAGCCAUGUGGAGAUGCGCAACCCUAAAUGAAGGUAUACAACUGGUAAAAUGGAUGAGCAAAAUGGUAGCUAUUAAAAAAUAGAAAAACCAUGCAUGUGUAUUGUUCAAAUCUAAGAUAAAAAUCACAUGAUGUGGAAGAGAAAUAGAACUGCCCUGUUAUUAAACUGUUAAUUGAAUGUGUUCAGUUUCAGAUAGGAAAAGAGAUGUAUACUGGUUCUGUACAUCAAGUACACUUCUCCUGCAUUUGUAUUGUUCAUAUUCAUGUUAACUAUUUUUGACACAAAAAUAUGUUGGAGUGUUCAUAUCUGUAGGUUCAGGAAAGUUGAAAAAUGUUUCCUGAAUGCAUCUGCACGUGCAUUUCUACUGUCAGUAAAGUUUCUGAAGGAAAAAAAAGUAUAUAUACAAAAAGAAGGAAUAGAAAGUUGCUGUAAAAACCCUUUCUAUGCUAGUAAAGGAAGAAGGGCACUCUGCAUGUAUGAUCCAAAGCACAAGCUGUAUUCACAUGGAUCACACAGCUGAAAAGAAAUCACCAAAGUCAAGACAAGGAGGUUCCUUCACCUGUUGAUUCCUGAGCCAGCAGUGAAAACAUCAGCUUAGUGUCUGGAAAGAGUAAGGUGUCUCAGGAAGCUGAGCCACAGCGACACACGCGGAGGAGGUCCUCACGAGGUGGUCACCAAAACCAAGUGUGGAGCAUCGCUGCAUGUAUGCUUCUGCUCCACUCUGGAAUGUGGCACUUGGAUUACUUGGGAUUCAGAGCCCUUGGCUGCCCAACUGAGUCAACUGCCUUGUCUUCAAAGCACAGACACCAAAGCUACUACCUGCCAGCACUUGAUAGCCUACAAGUCUGUUCAGAUGCUGGUGUGCAGCCUGUGAAGAGAGAGGCCCAUCUCAUACACUCUAGUGCACAAGAAAUAUCGGAAACCAACUUUAACCUCUGCUGUAGAAGUAUACAGUCUGUGUAGCUGCUAGUGUACACUGGCAACUAAAGCAUGGGCGUCUGGGGAUAAGUAAGUUGGUACACAAUUACUCAAAGCCCAGAGAAGCUUCGCAGCUAUUACAGUGUGGAUUUUCUGGAUUAUAUUCUUGAUUUAAGUACUUGUAUCAUUUUGGAUGCCUCUCUGCUCCUUAACCACUACCCUUUAACUGCUCCAGCUACAUCUGCACACUCUCUCAGAGGUUAGGCAAAGGAAGCACCCAGAGCCCUGUGUGGUUUCUGACCUGGGCCCUAUAUCCAUAUGGAAGCUGGUGAGACUCGAGCAUUUCCAGUGGUUCCCACCCUGCAGUACCUCCACAUUUGGAUGACAUUACCACACGGGAGCCUUCCUGCCAAAAUGUUCUCCCUAGCGUGCUUCCCUAGGAGACUUUACUGCGAGGAGAAACCCCUGCCCCAUCUGCUGUGAGAUGACAGUGACAUUUUAAUACCACAUUUAAAAAUACGAUGCAGGCUGCAGAGCCAGGCUGCGGAGUCAUGCAACUUUAUUACUUGUUUAAUUUGAAAACAACCUAGAAAAAAAAUCAGUUCUACUCACUUGUGGCUUCCCCAUCUGGAGGGCAUUGAGCUCAUCUCACUGAGAGAGCUGUCACAAGCAUAUUGGGUGGAUCAGAUCCCUGUUAAUGUCAGUGGGACGUGCACACUAUCACUCAUUUAUUCUAUGGGAGAUUUUAGUACAAGCAUCGAGGAGGGACUAUGCUCUUCCACUAACUGACAUCGCCAUAUAAAUUAGCAUCUCCCAGUGUUUUGAAUUUAUGAGCUAAUUAAAAACAAAACCUACACGUACUCCUCAGUUAUACAGCUUAUUUGCAGUCUCACAAUAUUUUCUAGUUCUAGGUGCAGCUAUUGCAAUAUGCAUUUCAAGCACAGUUAGAAAACCAAACGACUGAGCAAAGUGAGAAAAAAGGAAGACGUAAUUCCACAUGGCUAAUGGAGAGACCCCUGCACAGAGAGCUUGUGCUACUUAGCAGGGCCAGGGCCCUCAUGGACCCAGAGGAGCUCUGCUGUGGCUCAGUGCUGUGCACCAGGGCAUUCAGUUCUGUGUACCAGGGCACUCAGUGCUUCAUGACUGCUGCACCAUGAUGCUAGAUGCUUCAUGGAAACUCAAAUGGGCUUCCUUUCAGCUGACCUUGGGUACCUCCCAAACAUAGAUUUGUGUCCCAGCUGGAGAUCUACACCCCUUUAUGGUCAAAUAAAGCUUAUGAGAAGAAGUUAUCUCACUUUUUAAAAAUUAAUUAAAGAGGUGAAUUGCAUUCAGAAAUGCUUUCGUUCCCCUUGCACUGUGAAGGAAAUUGGGAUUGUUUGCUUGAUGGGCAACUUAUUUAACAAAAAAUUCUCAUCCUUGAUAUAUGAGUUUCCAUGGUAGGCGAGCAGUCAAAUAGUAGGCGUUUGCUUCACUCAACAGCCAGAUUGUUAGUGCAGGCCUGCAAAGUAUCAGAUCAUUCUCAGAACUUCCCUCACCUUGGUUUAGAGUGAGGAUUGAACUCAGCUCUCCCACCCCUCAAGAGAGCAGACCGACUACCAGUCUCUCUUGUAGAAGCUGUUCUUCUUGUAUGAAUAAUUAACUAGUUAUUGGAGAAGAGGUUUGGACCUGACUUGCCGACAUCCAGAUGAGCAAGCUAACCAGAAGGCUGGGGAAUCACUGGUUUGCACUUCCCAUUCCUCUUCCUGGCCCAGUGAGUGCUUAAUUAUUUAUACAAAGGGAUUUAUGUAGUUUAAGGGGAAGAAAGGCUAAUUUUGGGAUAGGAGACAUUAAUGUGUUUAUUCUAAAUCAAGUUGAAAGUGAAUUUGUUAGUUGGUUUUAGUUGUCAGAUAAGCUCUAGCACUGGGAACCACUGAAUCUCUGUCUGUGCAUGCAAGAGAGCACAAAUAAAGGCCUUUCUCCUUCAUUUAUGGUAGCAAGAAGUCUCACUGCUUGCUUGCAAAAGAGCUGACAGCCUUCCUCAAGGCCAAACCCUUCCCAAAGUGUGCAGAGGAAGUGAGAAUUCUGCCUCUGGGAGAGGAAUCCAGAGUUCUAAAUCUCUGUUGGUUGUCUCCUUGUUUCUCUGACUCCAUAGGUUGAUUACAGGAGCCCAGAAAAUUAUAUCUGAGCCUCUAGAUGCUACUGUCAUAUUUAUUACCCGAUGUGGACUUGAAGUCUUAGCUGAAUGGAUGCUCUUUGGCUACAUCCAUACUGUCCAGGCUCAGGUUUCUUCCAUUUGUGACAUAUAGGGUUGUGCUACAUGCAGCAGUGGUAUGCCAGUGCACACCAUGUGUUUCUACUGCCUUUUCCAAGGAAGUCAGGAAAAUGUUGUGCCGCUCUCCAUGCUGUUGUAGCGACAUAUGUGGGCAGUUAGGAGCUGUGCUCUCAUGUAAAAUGAGUUAACCUGAACCAUGCAGCAGGCAGAAAAAGCAGUCUGAUGCAUGGUCAUGCUGAGCACAGAUACCCCAAUGUGAUGUUUUAACAAAUAAGUGCCCUCCAGAGCCUUCACUGUGCUUUGUGGGAAGACCAGAAGAAAAAAUAUCUCUGAUGAUAUUCUGAUGUGUUCUAAAGCAAGUAUGCUGAUGACACCAAGCUGAGUGGUGCGGUUGACACAAUGGAAGGAAGAGAUGCCAUUCAGAGGGACCUCAGCAGACUUGAAAGGUGGGCCCAGAUGAAUCUAAUGAAGUUCAGCACAGCAAAGUGCAAGGUUUUGCCCUUGGGCCGGAGGAAUCCCAGUCAUAUAUACAGCCUGGAAGGAGCAGUCCUUGAGAACAGUUCUGCAGAGAAACAUCUGGGGGUCCUGGUGGAUGAAAAAUUGGACAUGAGCCAGCAGU